rnacentral:rRNA from 1 species
UACAGAGGUCUCAAGCGUUGUUCGGAUUCAUUGGGCGUAAAGGGUGCGUAGGUGGCGCGGUAAGUCGGGUGUGAAAUUUCGGAGCUUAACUCCGAAACUGCAUUCGAUACUGCCGUGCUUGAGGACUGGAGAGGAGAGUGGAAUUCCUGGUGUAGCGGUGAAAUGCGCAGAUAUCAGGAAGAACACCAAUGGCGAAGGCAGCUCUCUGGGACGGUACUGACGCUGAGACGCGAAAGCGUGGGGAGCGAACAGG